rnacentral:rRNA from 1 species
GAUAAACGCUGGCGGCGUGCCUAAUACAUGCAAGUCGAGCGAACGGACGAGAAGCUUGCUUCUCUGAUGUUAGCGGCGGACGGGUGAGUAACACGUGGAUAACCUACCUAUAAGACUGGGAUAACUUCGGGAAACCGGAGCUAAUACCGGAUAAUAUUUUGAACCGCAUGGUUCAAAAGUGAAAGACGGUCUUGCUGUCACUUAUAGAUGGAUCCGCGCUGCAUUAGCUAGUUGGUAAGGUAACGGCUUACCAAGGCAACGAUGCAUAGCCGACCUGAGAGGGCGAUCGGCCACACUGGAACUGAGACACGGUCCAGACUCCUACGGGAGGCAGCAGUAGGGAAUCUUCCGCAAUGGGCGAAAGCCUGACGGAGCAACGCCGCGUGAGUGAUGAAGGUCUUCGGAUCGUAAAACUCUGUUAUUAGGGAAGAACAUAUGUGUAAGUAACUGUGCACAUCUUGACGGUACCUAAUCAGAAAGCCACGGCUAACUACGUGCCAGCAGCCGCGGUAAUACGUAGGUGGCAAGCGUUAUCCGGAAUUAUUGGGCGUAAAGCGCGCGUAGGCGGUUUUUUAAGUCUGAUGUGAAAGCCCACGGCUCAACCGUGGAGGGUCAUUGGAAACUGGAAAACUUGAGUGCAGAAGAGGAAAGUGGAAUUCCAUGUGUAGCGGUGAAAUGCGCAGAGAUAUGGAGGAACACCAGUGGCGAAGGCGACUUUCUGGUCUGUAACUGACGCUGAUGUGCGAAAGCGUGGGGAUCAAACAGGAUUAGAUACCCUGGUAGUCCACGCCGUAAACGAUGAGUGCUAAGUGUUAGGGGGUUUCCGCCCCUUAGUGCUGCAGCUAACGCAUUAAGCACUCCGCCUGGGGAGUACGACCGCAAGGUCGAAACUCAAAGGAAUUGACGGGGACCCGCACAAGCGGUGGAGCAUGUGGUUUAAUUCGAAGCAACGCGAAGAACCUUACCAAAUCUUGACAUCCUUUGACAACUCUAGAGAUAGAGCCUUCCCCUUCGGGGGACAAAGUGGCAGGUGGUGCAUGGUUGUCGUCAGCUCGUGUCGUGAGAUGUUGGGUUAAGUCCCGCAACGAGCGCAACCCUUAAGCUUAGUUGCCAUCAUUAAGUUGGGCACUCUAAGUUGACUGCCGGUGACAAACCGGAGGAAGGUGGGGAUGACGUCAAAUCAUCAUGCCCCUUAUGAUUUGGGCUACACACGUGCUACAAUGGACAAUACAAAGGGCAGCGAAACCGCGAGGUCAAGCAAAUCCCAUAAAGUUGUUCUCAGUUCGGAUUGUAGUCUGCAACUCGACUACAUGAAGCUGGAAUCGCUAGUAAUCGUAGAUCAGCAUGCUACGGUGAAUACGUUCCCGGGUCU